rnacentral:rRNA from 1 species
AGAGUUUGAUCCUGGCUCAGGACGAACGCUGGCGGUAUGCUUAACACAUGCAAGUCGAACGAGACGAGAUGGAAGUGCUUGCACGGAAAUCUUAGAAAGUGGCGAACGGGUGAGUAACGCGUGGGUAACCUGCCCUAUGGAAAGGAAUAGCCUCGGGAAACUGGGAAUAAUGCCUUAUAAUACAUUGAAGUCGCAUGGCUUUGAUGUUAAACGCUCCGGUGCCAUAGGAUGGACCCGCGUCCCAUUAGCUAGUUGGUGAGAUAACAGCCCACCAAGGCGACGAUGGGUAACCGGUCUGAGAGGGCGAACGGUCACACUGGAACUGAGACACGGUCCAGACUCCUACGGGAGGCAGCAGUGGGGAAUAUUGCGCAAUGGGGGAAACCCUGACGCAGCAAUACCGCGUGAGUGAAGAAGGUUUUCGGAUCGUAAAGCUCUGUUAUUGGGGAAGAAAAAAAGACGGUACCCAAGAAGAAAGUCCCGGCUAACUACGUGCCAGCAGCCGCGGUAAUACGUAGGGGACAAGCGUUGUCC